ACGGUAUUUGUAGAUUUGAUCAUGCUGAUACUUACCAAGGUAACCCGAUUAAUGAAGUGGUUGGUUUCAUGGAUUCAAUGAUGCAGUACGCAUGUGACAUGCAAAGUCCCAAGAAGCAGUGCGGUAAUGCUAGGAAGACCAAAGACAAGUCUAGCCCAUCCGAGGAUCCUCAUAGUAUUGCAGCAAAGGUGUUCUCAUUCAUCUGCCCCGUCUCCAUCGGGUUCAGUAAUAUGGCUUGAUGGUCGAGAACAUGACCGAGAAUCAAUCACUCGGAGGUAACUCGCAGAUUAGGUCGACUAACAGAUGCGUCCUUGUUGCAGAACCGGAGGGAACGGAUCAGUGAGCGGCUCAAAGUUCUACAAGGCCUCGUUCCCGAUGGCGCAAAGGUUGAUUUGGUGACCAUGCUAGAGAAAGCGAUUAGCUACGUGAAGUUCCUUCAGUUGCAAGUGAAGGUGUUGGCAACUGAUGAGUUCUGGCCGGCGCAAGGGGGGAAAGCACCAGAUGUUGGGCAACCAAAGGAAGCCAUCGAUGCCAUCUUAUCCUCUCACGGAGACAGGAACCGCAAGUGUAAGCAGUGACCAAAAACAGCCAUGGUUUGAAGCUAGGAAGGACUUGUUCCCUUUCCCAUUUCUUCCUCCCUUUUCAUUUGUGACUCAGAUGUAAUGCUAACUGAAUUCAUCAGUGCAAUGAAUUUGGCCU